AUGUUGAUAAAAACUAAUGAAAACCCCAAGUUCAGUAUCUUAGAAAAUUAGAAUAUUACUUAAGACCAAUACUAAAAAAGGAUUUUUAGAAAUGUUGGCUAACUGAAAAGUAUGAACAUGAAAGGUAUGAACAUGUACAGCACUCAGUACGUAGUUGGGGCUCCUUUUGCCCAGAUUACUUCACUCUAAAACGCAAUACCUAUUCUUACUUAGAUUAGGUUUGUAUGUUUUGCUUAAGUCUCACUAAAAUGUUGUAACUCAAGUAAUGUCAGUAAUGUACAUGUUUGGCCUGAGAAAGUUACCAGACUAGGUUAUUUUUAGUAAAAUGGAUUUGAAUAUUUUUGUUACUGGAGUGAAUGCUUCAGCUCAGCAGUGCGCAUGGGCAGUAAAGUCGUGCAGGAAGCUUUCAGAACAUUUAUGGACUUGCACAUUGGAAGAAGCAAAUCUUUAACGGUGAGUUAUUUGUCGUCAGUACAUUUUCAUGUGUUAUGUAUGCCUUUACUACUUGCAUAUAUGGCUACAGGUUGAUUUUUCUUAUAAAUGAUGAUGAAUCAAACUCUUUGCAGGCUAAUAUGCUAAUGUUAGCAUGGGAUAAUGGGUCCAACAUUUACUAAAACGGACAUAACUUUUUCUUGAGAGUCUUUAAUGUUUUUGUCCAUGAUAAGAGAUCUGACUAAUAAUUAUCUACCUUUAAACUGCAACCCUUCAGCAUGUUUUUUUAAGCAUAAACUCAGCCUGCUAACGUUCAUGUAGAAUUAAUUUUACUCGUGGAUUUCUUCAGUCAACCAUUUAGGAUCCAAAGAAGCAUUAAAUGCCGGUUGACUUGUUUAUGCCGGACCAAUGAUCUUGUUGCCAUGAGGACUGCUGCCCUGCAAUGUCUCCCAGUUUUCCUCAAGGAAAGAGUUCUACAGUGUCUCUAACUUCAGAUGCCAUGGCAGACUUUAUCCAGGUUCCUGUGGGGUUAUUGACUGUUAUGUUAUGCUAAGUAUAUUACAGUAUUUUGUUAAAAUAAAACAUUGAAUCUUAUGAACUUAAAAUCUUUUUCGUGGUUACUUAAUUUAUUUAAGGCAAUGGGUUUCCCAGAUUCUUCUAAGUAAACUGUACUGUUAAUGUAAGUUGGACUAACUUGAAGUAGUUGAGUUAAGAAGGGGAUAAUUUACUUGCCAUUUCUAAGUUGACUCAACUUCACUAAACUAAGUUAAUUUAACUUAACACAAUUUAGUUAAUACAACAAAGUCCUAAGUACACUGACUUUGUAAACAAACUGUAAACAAAACGUACGAAUAGUAGUUAAACUUACUUAUACUGAACAAAAAUAUAAACGCCAUGUUGCCUCCUUGACAUUGUUGCCAUGUGGAGUUAACAACUGUAAAUGAGCAUUUGCUAACAUUUUAUUAUACAAAAGUAAUAUUUCUCUUGAUUUGUGUAUAAUUUUUAAUCCAACUUCCUGUCAGUGAGCGUUGGUGAGUUGUUCUUUUACUCAGUGCAUGGGUGGGACACGUCCACUGGGUGAUCAGACAAAAUGAGCACCAACUGGACAAUCCUUGUUAUGUGGGAGCAUAACUUGCGACAGAACAGUGCAUAACUGCAUUGGCAUGUUGGAUGCAGGGACGUCCACCACAUCAGUAACUGGCGGCUCAAUGUCCGUUAUCGGACCAUAGGCUGUUUAUACGAGGGGCCGUUUAGGACAAAAACUAUAUUUUGUCUCACACACAUGACUAAAGACUCAUGCAUGCACACAAAAUAUUAAAAUUGCACAUGUAUACUAUUAAAAUAUCACACACACAUACAAUUUUUCUCUCACAUUCACACACAAAAGACUAAGAUUGCGCAUAUACACUGCUCGGGUCUCUAACGCCGCUUACUCCGGCUCUAAUGCCUUACUCCAACGUUAGAGCUGGAAUACGCGGCGAUUGAGCUUCUCCUGCUCUAACGCUGCUUAAUAAGGCACUAGAGGUGGAGUAAGCGGCGUUAGUCUGCUCUUUGUGAGUCUUCCCCACAUUUUUGAACGGGUGUUGUUUCACAAUCCUUUCCAGAAUGUGGAUAUUCCGAUUGCUUGUCCAUUUGUUUUUCUACCACAUCUUUUCCUUCCCUUCACCUCUCCAUGAACAUGCUUGGACACUCUGUGCUCAGCCAGCCUCUUUAGCAAUGACGUUUGUGUCUUGCCCUCUUGUGCAAUUUGUCAAAGGUCAUCUUUUGGACGACUGGCAGAUCAGAUGUCAUCCCCAUGAUUGUGUAGCCUACAGAACUGGACUGAGGCUAUUUAAAAGCAUUUGGGGGUGUUUUGAGUUAAUUAGCUGAUUUGAGUGUGUCACCAGGGGUCUUCAAUACUGAACCUUUUCACAAUAUUCUAAUUUUCUGAGAUACUGAAUUUGGAGUUUUCAUUAGUUUUCAGUAAUCAUAAACAUUUAAAGAAAUAAACACUGGAAAUAUAUCAGUCUGUAUGUAAUGAAUGGAUAUAAUAUACGAAUUUUACAUUUUGAAUGGAAUUACUGACUUAAACUUUUUUAUGAUAUUUCUUUUUUUUGACCGUCACCUGUAUAUCUAAUGUGCAAAAACCAAAGGACGUAUGCAAUAUAAUUUUUCUACAAUUUUCUUUUAAAAUUGUUGUAGAAAUAGUUGCACUCCUUUCUCUGUCUGAAAUCAAGAAAUGUAUCCAAAAAUAUGACAGAAAAAAGCAAGCUUGAAACAGCUAAGAAUGCAGCCAAACAUUUUACAUAGAGAGAUGUUAGGAAAACUAAAUCCAGACCCAAGUGCAUUUCAAUGUCCGCCCAACUGGAAACUAGUAAGAGCAAAGUCUGUCACUCCUAUUUGAGCUCCAUAAAAGCAAGACUUAUUCCAGGCUUUUUCCAGUCAGGUGGAGGAGUUUGAGUCUAAUGGUGUCUAAAAGUAGUAGCUUGAAUACCCAAUAGACUGACACCCUAACCAGAGUAAUAAAAGCAUUCUGCAACAAGCUCAGUCUGCCUGGAAUUCAGUACAAUUACAAAUAAUGGUUGUGACUAAAGCCAUAGUUCAAAAACAUAGCUAGACGACAGCUUUGUCUAAUUUGCAUAUUUGGUCAUAUGUGAUCUGGGCACUAUAGAAAUCAACACCAGCAAAGCAAAAGUGAUUAAAAAUACUUGAAACAUUUAGAACUACAAAUAAACGUUGUGAAAUAAUUUACUAAAUUUAAAUUUAAUAAUGUAAAUACUUUGUUUGAACCUACUCUAAGUAAAUGUUUUGCAUGACUUUAAUUUAACCAAGAGAUACUUAUCAGAGGCAGUGGAAGAGAUAAAUCGGUGACUAAGGCUUUGUGAAUCAAUUCCAAACUUUAGAAAACAUGACAGCUUUGUGCAGUCAUGAUUCCAUCGUGAUUUGCAAGCAGAAUGGAGUGGGUCUCCUCUCUGCUCUACUGCCGGCUGCUGUCAGCCAGAUUGACCGCCUGCAUAUGCUUCAGAGGUGGGAGAGGCUGACAGCAGCUCUCACCGCUUGCUGUACACUCCCCAUUCUCCAUAUAUAAAUAGGCAUUCUGCUUGAAAAACGAUGGAAAUGACGACUGUAAGGUUUGGAUGACAUCAACAAAACAGUCUGCACAAAUAUGUUAUCUUGGGUUCUGGAUCUGGGACUCCAACCUGAUGUCUGAGCCAAGAAUAUUGAAAGUCAAGUUUGACUUUAUUAAUAUUAUUUUAAAAAUAUAUAUAUAUUUGUUUAACGAUGAAACAGAUGCUUGUCCUAAGUGGAUGAGCUUGGGAGGAGCUCAUUAUGUUUAGUAUCAAAAUACUUUCUGAUCUAUAUAUUGUAUUU